rnacentral:rRNA from 1 species
AUGAACGCUGGCGGCGUGCCUAAUACAUGCAAGUCGAGCGAACAGACGAGGAGCUUGCUCCUCUGACGUUAGCGGCGGACGGGUGAGUAACACGUGGAUAACCUACCUAUAAGACUGGGAUAACUUCGGGAAACCGGAGCUAAUACCGGAUAAUAUAUUGAACCGCAUGGUUCAAUAGUGAAAGACGGUUUUGCUGUCACUUAUAGAUGGAUCCGCGCCGCAUUAGCUAGUUGGUAAGGUAACGGCUUACCAAGGCAACGAUGCGUAGCCGACCUGAGAGGGUGAUCGGCCACACUGGAACUGAGACACGGUCCAGACGCCUACGGGAGGCAGCAGUAGGGAAUCUUCCGCAAUGGGCGAAAGCCUGACGGAGCAACGCCGCGUGAGUGAUGAAGGUCUUCGGAUCGUAAAACUCUGUUAUUAGGGAAGAACAAAUGUGUAAGUAACUAUGCACGUCUGGACGGUACCUAAUCAGAAAGCCACGGCGAACUACGU